GAGUUUGAUCGUGGCUCAGGACGAACGCUGGCGGCGUGCCUAAUACAUGCAAGUCGAGCGAGCUGAAUUCAAAGAUCCCUUCGGGGUGAUUUGUUGGACGCUAGCGGCGGAUGGGUGAGUAACACGUGGGCAAUCUGCCCUAAAGACUGGGAUACCACUUGGAAACAGGUGCUAAUACCGGAUAACAACAUGAAUCGCAUGAUUCAAGUUUGAAAGGCGGCGCAAGCUGUCACUUUAGGAUGAGCCCGCGGCGCAUUAGCUAGUUGGUAGGGUAAAGGCCUACCAAGGCAAUGAUGCGUAGCCGAGUUGAGAGACUGAUCGGCCACAUUGGGACUGAGACACGGACCAAACUCCUACGGGAGGCAGCAGUGAGGAAUAUUGGUCAAUGGGCGCGAGCCUGAACCAGCCAAGUCGCGUGAGGGAUGAAGGUUCUA
rnacentral:rRNA from 1 species